CCUACGGGUGGCUGCAGUGGGGAAUAUUGCACAAUGGGCGCAAGCCUGAUGCAGCCAUGCCGCGUGUGUGGAGAAGGCCUUCGGGUUGUAAAGCACUUUCAGCGGGGAGGAAGGCGGUGAGGUUAAUAACCUCAUCGAUUGACGUUACCCGCAGAAGAAGCACCGGCUAACUCCGUGCCAGCAGCCGCGGUAAUACGGAGGGUGCAAGCGUUAAUCGGAAUUACUGGGCGUAAAGCGCACGCAGGCGGUCUGUCAAGUCGGAUGUGAAAUCCCCGGGCUCAACCUGGGAACUGCAUUCGAAACUGGCAGGCUAGAGUCUUGUAGAGGGGGGUAGAAUUCCAGGUGUAGCGGUGAAAUGCGUAGAGAUCUGGAGGAAUACCGGUGGCGAAGGCGGCCCCCUGGACAAAGACUGACGCUCAGGUGCGAAAGCGUGGGGAGCAAACAGGAUUAGAUACCCGUGUAGUC
rnacentral:rRNA from 1 species